CCGCCUGGUUACUACGAGCAUUAGCUUAAAAACCAAAGGACUUGGCGGUGCUUCAAACCCCCCUAGAGGAGCCUGUUCUAUAACCGAUAAUCCCCGUUAAACCUCACCCUUCCCAGCCCUACCAGCUUAUAUACCGCCGUCGUCAGCUUACCCCGUGAGGGCUAAAAAGUAGGCGCAAUUGGUUUAUCCCAACAAGUCAGGUCGAGGUGUAGCCUAUGGAAGGGGAAGAAAUGGGCUACAUUCUCUACAGCAGAGAAUACAGAGGAUGUCCUGAAAAAGACAUCCAAAGGUGGAUUUAGCAGUAAGAGGGGAACAGAGCGCCCCCCUGAAGACGGCCCUGAAGUGCGUACACACCGCCCGUCACCCUCUGC
rnacentral:rRNA from 1 species